rnacentral:tRNA from 1 species
AGAAAGUGGCAGAGUGGUUAUGCGCUUGGUUUGAAACCAGUGUAUGGGGGUUCGAUUCCUUCCUUUCUC